rnacentral:rRNA from 1 species
GCCCAGCGCCGAAUCCCCCGUCCUUCACGGGCGUCGGGACAUGUGGCGUAUAGAAGUCCGUAUCUCUCGGCGCGGGCCGGGGGGCCUGAGUCCUUCUGAUAGAGGCUCAGCCCAGGGACGGUGUGAGGCCGGUAACGGCCCCCGCCGCGCCGAGGUCGCGGUUCUUCUCGGAGUCGGGUUGCUUGGGAAUGCAGCCUAAAGCGGGUGGUAAACUCCAUCUAAGGCUAAAUACUGGCACGAGACCGAUAGCGAACAAGUACCGUAAGGGAAAGUUGAAAAGAACUUUGAAGAGAGAGUUCAACAGGGCGUGAAACCGUUAAGAGGUAAACGGGUGGGGUCCGCACAGUCCGCCCGGGGGAUUCAACCCGGCGGCGGUGUCGUCCCGGUCCGCCCGGCGAGCUCCUCCCGCGAGGGAGGCCGCCGGCGGGCUCGGGCCAACGGCCGCCGUCGGGCGCAUUUCCUCCGCGGCGGUGCGCCGCGACCGGCCUCGGUUCGGCUUGGAAGGGUCAGGGGGCGAAGGUGGCUCGCGAGCUCCGGCCCGCGAGCUUUACAGCGCCCUCCCGCCCCGACUUCGCCGCUUACCCCCGGGGCCGCGGUGAGUACCUCCGCGCCUUCCUUCCCCCGCGGGGGAGGGACGGGGCCCCUCCGUCCCCUGCGCGUGCCGUCGACCGGGCCGGACUGUCCUCAGUCCGCGUCCAACCGCGUCGCGCAGCCAGGGCGGGGACCGGCCUCCGCACAAAAGGGCGCUCGGGGUCAGCGGCGAUGCCGGCUACCCACCCGACCCGUCUUGAAACACGGACCAAGGAGUCUAACGCGUGCGCGAGUCAAAGGGCUGAAACGAAACCCCACGGCGCAAUGAAGGUGAAGGCCGGCGCGCGCCGGCCGAGGUGGGAUCCCCCCCCUACGGGUCGCGGGGGCGCACCACCGGCCCGUCUCUCCCGCUCCGUCGGGGAGGUGGAGCUAGAGCGUACGCGAUGGUACCCGAAAGAUGGUGAACUAUGCCUGGGCAGGGCGAAGCCAGGGGAAACUCUGGUGGAGGCCCGCAGCGGUCCUGACGUGCAAAUCGGU